UUGAAACACUUGUUCCUGUAUGAUCACCAAAGUUAAGCAAUGUCGAGCCUGGUCAGUACCAAGAUGGGUGACCGUUUGGGAAGACCAGGUGCUGUAAG